AUCAGAAUGGAAUCGCCUGAAGAAGACAGUGACUGGUUUAAAAAAUCUUAUCAUCUCAAUGAGGCAGAUAUUGUUGGAAUAACCAUGAUGGAUUUUCAGGAAGCAAUCAUAAAGUUCCAGCCUUCAUUGAAAAAAGAAUGGUUUUCUAUCAUCCCCGAAGUGAAAUGGGAAGUCAUAGGUGGGAUGGUACCAAUAAGGCACGAGUUUAUGCGUUCCAUUGUUCAACGUAUUAAAAAUCCUGAUGAUAUGGUGAUCAAUGUUCCUUCAUUUUAAUGAAACAGGUUAAGUUUUAUUUUUGUGUACUGUAUUUAUAAUCUGGAUAUUUCAGAAUGUUCAAACAGAGAAAUGGUUUUUUCUUUAUGGACCUACUGGCUGUGGUAAAACAUUAAUUGCAAAGGUUGUGGUCAAUGAAGUUGGGGCUAGUUUUAUACACAUUAAGGGUCUUGAACUUUUACAUAAAUAUGGGAGAGAAAGUGAAUGGGCAGUUAAAACUAUGUUCCACCGUGCAAAGAUAUUCUCCCCAUGUCUAAUUUUCUUUGAUCAGGUGGAUCCUUUGAUAACGAAACGAGCAAAGGAAGGUGAUUGGGUUCUUGAAAGACUUUUGAAUCAGAGGUGAAUGAAGCAGCACUGGCUGCAAAAAAUGAAAGAAAAUUCGUCUUAGAUUUGUCCACUAUACAUAGAAGGCAUUUCGACGUAGCAUUCCAAAGGAUCUCCCCAUCUGUCUCCCAAAAGGUAUUUGUUUAUUUUAUUUUAUUUUACUUUAUUGAAUCACUUUACGGGUCAUUGGCGACGCCUCAACUGUUCCUUAUCUAUUCGACAAGAUGAAUUCAGCAUCUACUUGGAGACCUUUAUCAAGUGUCUUCUUCCACUUUUACAGCUGUGAAUAUGAGGUGUGCAUUGUUUUCCAAGAAAUUCAUUUACGUUUCUUCAUAUAGAUCCAAUAUUGAAUGAUUGUGUUAUGUGUACUCUCUUUUCUUACAUUAAUAUUAAAAUUUGUAUUAAUAAACAAGAAUUUAAG